UUGACCUCAAAUCAGGUAGGAACUACCCGCUGAACUUAA
rnacentral:rRNA from 1 species